rnacentral:rRNA from 1 species
UGAGGAAUAUUGCACAAUGGGCGCAAGCCUGAUGCAGCAACGCCGCGUGCGGGACGACGGCCUUCGGGUUGUAAACCGCUUUUCUGAGGGACGAGCGAGGACGGUACCUUAGGAAUAAGUCUCGGCUAACUACGUGCCAGCAGCCGCGGUAAAACGUAGGAGGCGAGCGUUAUCCGGAUUUACUGGGCGUAAAGCGCGCGCAGGUGGCCGUGUAAGUUGGACGUGAAAGCUCCUGGCUUAACUGGGAGAGGUCGUUCGAUACUGCGGGGCUUGAGGCUGGGAGAGGGGUGUGGAAUUCCCGGUGUAGUGGUGGAAUGCGUAGAUAUCGGGAGGAACACCUGAGGCGAAGGCGGCACCCUGGCCCACACCUGACACUGAGGUGCGAAAGCGUGGGGA